AAUCACGUCCAAAAUCAUGGCAACGUUUUGGACAUAUGGAUGAGGUCACUUGUGGUGAGAAUGCCUUGAAAUUCUAUGCAGUUGUAUGACUGAGGAUGAUAAGAACAUGACUACUCCAGAUUGAGGAUAAGGUAACUGCUCUUGGGGUAUGCAUGCAAGUUGGUUGAAAAAUAAUCUUACACAUUCAGUGAAAAGGUUGAAUGGAGGGAUACAAUUAGGCGAAGGCUUUGGCUGCAACUUUGAGGUCUUGGAUUUGGCUUGUUAACAUGGAGUCAUCAUCAAAUAAGAAAGAAACUACCUCUUAGAUCCAAUGACAAACAUGAAGCCAAAUGGUAUGUUCGAAAAUGAUAGAAUCCUUGAUAAGUUAGUCAUGAUCUUAAGAAUGAAGUUGUUUGAUAGAGAGAGAAUCAUAUUAGAUUCUUGAAUGGUUGAGUUAUAAUCAAAUAUGUUAGAUGUAAAAUUACCUAGCUACUUUACAACACCUAAAGUGAGCUGAAGGAUCUUUGAACUUGA